AUCGCUUCUCGGCCAAAUGGCUAAGAUCAAGUGUAGUAUCUGUUCUUGAUUCUUAGUCAUUAGGUGUACAAUCAAGCUAGAGAUCACUUUUGGUGAGGUCUACGUACCUCUUAGAUUGUUUUAAAAAGUUUACCUUACCCUACAACGGGUUGCCUGUAAGGCAAUUUUAGUUUGUGGAAGGUCGGGAGACUUUAU